rnacentral:rRNA from 1 species
AUUGAACGCUGGCGGCAGGCCUAACACAUGCAAGUCGAACGAGUGGCGGACGGGUGAGUAAUGUCUGGGAAACUGCCUUAUGUAGGUGGAUAACUACUGGAAACGGUAGCUAAUACCGCAUACCAUCGUAUUUGCCCAUCUGGGAGUAGCUAGUAGGUGGGGUAAAGGAUCACCUAGGCGACGAGCCCUAGCUGGUCUGAGAGUAUGACCAGCGACAGUGGAGCGGAGACACGGUCCAGAAUCCUACGGGAGGCAGCAGUGAGGAAUAUUGCACAAUGGGCACAAGGCUGAUGCAGCCAUGGGGCGUGUAUGAAGAGGACCUUCGGGUUGUAAAGUACUUCAAGCGGUGAGGCGUUACCCGCAGAAGAAGCACCGGCUAACGCCGUGCCAGCAGCCGCGGUAAUUC